GGUGACCUAGUGGUUAGAGCGUCUGCCUCUGAUGCGGGAGGUUGUGGGUUCGAUUCACGGGUGAGUCA